CUAAUAAUAGCAAAAUUAGUAACCUAGGAACUAAAUUACAUCAUUUUUAAAAGCGAGUACAAAACAAAAAUUCAGCUUCUAACUUGGGGACUAAAAAGGUAAUUAAACCUAAAAUAAAAUGUGACUCGUCCUAUGUUAGAAAAAUAAAAUCGAGGCCAGAGUUCAUGUAAUUGAUUAAACAUAUGGAAAAAUGGAAAAAAAAAAGGGUAAUAAGACCAUCAUUGCACUUAAGCACCACCCAUUCACAUUGAACUCACUCACCUAUAUGAAAAAAUGGAAAAAUUGAACCAAAUCAAACAAAAACCAUCAUUGGGAGUG
rnacentral:lncRNA from 1 species